rnacentral:lncRNA from 1 species
GCAGUGGUAGCCAAUUGUCUACUCAACUUUUUGAAAUUUAUCAAGCCCUGUGUCCUAAAUUCGUGCUCUGUUUAUCAUGUAGUCUAAUCGGUUUCUAAGUUAAGACAUUGUGAGCGAUUGACUUGUUGGCCACUCCUGCUCUAUAGAGAUGAAAGAUCAUCUCUGUGAAGAAAGAUCAACAGACUCCCAGGUUUUCAUCUUCUUAAACUAAAUGAUAUUAACCUCUAUUCAUCUAUCCUUUAAAACCAUCAUGCUUACAGAAUCUGCCCUAUUCUCUCAGUCUAUUUCACUAUCUAGAAUCAGUUGCCAUGGAUGCACUCCUCAUCACAAAAACAAAUUCUUCCAAGUUAAUGGCAAAAUUUUCCUUCAGCAGGAUUAUAUACCAAUGAGUUCACCAUUAUCCACAUUUCUUGCUGAAAUCAUUUGUAAACUAGAACAUAAUCUUUCACUUUCCUUUAUGUACCCCCUAUCCUGUUUUCUAUAUUGUAUAUGUUAUAUUGAUGACUGCUAGUUCUCUGGCAAGGCACCAACAAACAACUCUUUAUUUUCAUAUCCACCCUCAGCUGUAUAUUCUUCAAUUAAAUUCUGAAUAGAACACCAAACUAGCAAUUCAAUCUCCCUUUCUUGACCUAUUUAUUACUAAUACAGAUUCCUUCUUCCAUUUUUCUAUUUUUCAGAAUCCUACAAGUAACC